CUUUAAGUAGCUUAAAAUAAAGCAUUAGCCUCUUAAUCUAAAAAUGAAAAAUUUUCCUUAAAGA
rnacentral:tRNA from 3 species